rnacentral:rRNA from 1 species
UACGUAGGGUCCGAGCGUUGUCCGGAAUUAUUGGGCGUAAAGAGCUCGUAGGCGGCCACUCAAGUCGAAUGUGAAACCUCGAGGCUUAACCUCGAGCCUGCAUUCGAUACUGGGCGGCUAGAGUCUGGUAGGGGGAUCUGGAAUUCCUGGUGUAGCGGUGGAAUGCGCAGAUAUCAGGAGGAACACCGGUGGCGAAGGCGGGAUCCUGGGCCAGUACUGACGCUGAGGAGCGAAAGCGUGGGGAGCAAACAGG